rnacentral:SRP_RNA from 1 species
UUCCGGUCCCCCCGCAACGAGAGGUAGCGAACUCCGCCAGGCCUGGAAGGGAGCAACGGUAGUUAUCAUAUCGUGUGCCGGGGUGUGGCUGGUUGGA